AUGACGCACACACGCGCACACGCCCCAAAGUUUACAGUCAGUUUCAUUGGAAUACUAGUUUAUGGAAAAUGUAAAUGUUAUUUUAAAGAUAAUUUUAUUGAUCUGAAUGUUGAAAAUAUUUCAAUGAGAGUCUUAAAUGAUAAUUAUUUGAUUUUAAUCUCCAAUCUUUGCGAUUUUGUAACAAUUCCACCGGUGAUAUAGGUUAUCCCUCUCUGCUUCUUAGCUUCUAACUGUAAUGAAGUAAUAAUUAUUUCUAUUAUUCAGGAAUGUUUGAAAAUACUAGUUUCAAAUUAGUGAAAUGCUAUUGAAAGAUGUGGAUAAUGAAGAUUUGAAAGUGAACGGAAGAAACCAUGGCACAGGAAGUAAUCUAGAAAACGAUAAUAUGUCAGAUAGCGUUGGUGAUUCAGGGGCCUCAGGCUUCAGCACAGAAAGUGAGUUCUCCAGUAAUGAGCCGAGA